rnacentral:rRNA from 1 species
UGGGGAAUAUUGGACAAUGGGCGAAAGCCUGAUCCAGCCAUGCCGCGUGUGUGAAGAAGGCCUUUUGGUUGUAAAGCACUUUAAGUGGGGAGGAAAAGCUUGUGGUUAAUACCCAUAAGCCCUGACGUUACCCACAGAAUAAGCACCGGCUAACUCUGUGCCAGCAGCCGCGGUAAUACAGAGGGUGCAAGCGUUAAUCGGAAUUACUGGGCGUAAAGCGCGCGUAGGUGGUUAUUUAAGUCAGAUGUGAAAGCCCCGGGCUUAACCUGGGAACUGCAUCUGAUACUGGAUAACUAGAGUAGGUGAGAGGGGAGUAGAAUUCCAGGUGUAGCGGUGAAAUGCGUAGAGAUCUGGAGGAAUACCGAUGGCGAAGGCAGCCCCCUGGCAUCAUACUGACACUGAGGUGCGAAAGCGUGGGUAGCAAACAGGAUUAGAUACCCUGGUAGUCCACGCCGUAAACGAUGUCUACCAGUCGUUGGGUCUUUUAAAGACUUAGUGACGCAGUUAACGCAAUAAGUAGACCGCCUGGGGAGUACGGCCGCAAGGUUA